UACGUAGGGUGCAAGCGUUAAUCGGAAUUACUGGGCGUAAAGAGUGCGUAGGCGGCUAUGUAAGACAGAUGUGAAAUCCCUGGGCUUAACCUAGGAACUGCAUUUGUGACUGCAUGGCUAGAGUGUGGUAGAGGGAGAUGGAAUUCCGCAUGUAGCAGUGAAAUGCGUAGAUAUGCGGAGGAACACCGAUGGCGAAGGCAAUCCCCUGGACCUGUACUGACGCUCAUGCACGAAAGCGUGGGGAGCAAACAGG
rnacentral:rRNA from 1 species